GGAGCCGUGCCUGAAUUUAAAGGAACACUUUGAUAGAGUGUAUUAUGGGGGUUCAACUCCCCCCAGCUCC
rnacentral:tRNA from 1 species